rnacentral:rRNA from 1 species
AUGUCUCUGCAAGAGAGCGGAAGAAGUCAAAAAGGGGGCGGCAAAAAAGCUCCUUGGGGAGGACCGUCACGCCUAAUGUUGACCCUUUGUUGGAACUGUCGUGGGCUAGGCGGACCUGCGGCAGUUCAUGGAUUGUGCAAUAUUGCGUGGGAGUGUGUGCCGACUAUACUUUGCGUGGUGGAAACCCAGUUACCAAAGUAUCGUGGAGCAGUGGCGGGGCUACACAGGAGAUGCCUUGAGGGGCGAAAGGCAAUACAUCAAUCUCUGAGGGUGCGCGCCAUCAGCCGGCGGCUGACGGUAAGUGUUUCUAUGAUUAGACACUCCCGAUGCAAAAAAAAGGGUGGGGGUCAAUUAUAG